rnacentral:rRNA from 1 species
CCCUUAGAUGUUCUGGGCAGCACGCGCGCUACAAUGGUCUUCGCAAACGGAUGCAUUCUCGAAGGAGAAUGCCAAUCUUGGAAUCUAUGCCUUGGUCGGGACAGUUGCUUGCAAUUUUUCGACUCGAACCAGGAAUUCCUUGUAAUCGUGAUUCAUCACAUCACGAUGAAUACGUCCCUGCCCUUUGUACACACCGCCCGUCGCUCCUACCGAUCGAAGAGUUAGGUGAAUUGUUUUGAUCGAUAAGAUCUGACUAUGGUCAACUCUCGUUGUGAAAUUCUGUGAAUCUGACUGUUUAGAGGAAGGAAAAGUCGUAACA